CACUCUAAGGUGACUGCCGGCUAAAAGUCGGAGAAGGUGGGGAUGACGUCAAAUCAUCAUGCCCCUUAUGACCUGGGCUACACACGUGCUACAAUGGGCGGUACAAAGGGUCGCGAACCCGCGAGGGGGAGCCAAUCCCAAAAAGCCGCUCUCAGUUCGGAUUGCAGGCUGCAACUCGCCUGCAUGAAGCCGGAAUCGCUAGUAAUCGCGGAUCAGCAUGCCGCGGUGAAUACGUUCCCGGGCCUU
rnacentral:rRNA from 1 species